rnacentral:rRNA from 1 species
UACAGGGGUGCAAACGUUGCUCGGAAUCAUUGGGCGUAAAGCGCACGUAGGCGGUUCGUUAUGUCGGAUGGUGAAAGCCCUUGGCUUAACCGAGGAAGUGCAUCCGAAACUGGCGAGCUAGAGUACUAAAGGAGGAUCGCGGAAUUCCGGUGUAGAGGUGAAAUUCGUAGAUAUCGGGAGGAACACCGGUGGCGAAGGCGGCGAAUCUGGGUAGAGUACUGACGCGUGAGGUGCGAAAGCGUGGGGAGCAACAGGGAUUAAGAUACC